CCUUAAUCUUCUUCUCUCUUUCUCUCAGCUCCUCUCGGUAUCAGGAUGAAGGUGAUUGAGGAUGACUUAGGGAGUCGGUUCAGGUUUGCUGAGUCAUGUGUGGGAUUGACAGGGUGUCUCUGCGUGGCCUACUCUGUGUGGAGCUCUCGCUGGCUCUGGGACACGGGACUAUGGACUUUAGGGAAUAACAUCACCAGCACAGACCAUGACAUUGACCAGAGUGACAUUAUCUUCAACGGUUUCUUCUUCCUCCUCAGCUGGUCCAUCUUCACCUACCAGCAUUGGAUGGAAAUCAGUAGUGACAUCACCAGCCUGGGUUCCUCCUAUUGGCUUGGCGCCCUGGGCUGGGCCCUGCUAUUGGUUGUUUUCCCAGUGGUGUUCCUGGUGGAGCAGUGUGUGGUCCCUGACAUCAUGCCGAACCUCAUGAAUGCUGCCGAUGGCUGGCUCCGCACCUCCCCGGUUCCAUAUGCUGAGCGCCCAUUCAGCCAGAUUCAUCAGCAUUGUGACAUGGAAAGGGGGCUGAAGAGGUGCAUGUCUGUAACAUGAGACAAGGAAUGGAUAAAACAGGGAUGAAGUGAAACCUUCGGGUUUCAAGUCUGAGCAGAAUGCAGGACUGAACUGGACAGGUCAGGACUUAUGGAAGUCUGUGUUUACUCUAGCAGUUUACAUAAGGAAGUCAGAAUCUGCACCCUACCAGCUUUGAGGCAUUAGUGAUUAUAUGAAUAUGAUUAUAUUCAUUUCACCUGGGAGUGGGCAAUUUCUCUAUCAGAGUCUUCUCCAGUGGUCACAAACUGUCCUCAUCUGGAAAGCAUGGUGAGCAAGGACUUUUAAUCUAAACGUAAAUUCUCCACCAGCUUGUGUUAUUCCUCACUACAAGCAGAUACUAGAUGUUGUUAUGCCUCACCACUGUGCUAGCUGUUAUGUCACACCUCUAUACAAGGUGUUGUAAUGCCUCACUACUGUACCUGCUGUUGUUAUGCCUCACCACUGUGCUAGCUGUUAUGUCACACCUCUAUACAAGGUGUUGUAAUGCCUCACUACUGUACCUGCUGUUGUUAUGCCUCACCACAAUAAAAGUGUGACUUUUAUUUUAAUUUAUGAAAUAAAUGAGUGCUGAUAAUGUGUAACCGCAUAAAAUACUCUGCUCUGUUUAACCAGUAUAUCUGCUUAAUGCCAGGUGUCUUCCUGGCACCACAAAUGUGUCCCGAGCCAGCCCUGUCA
ensembl:lncRNA